GAUGAACGCUGGCGGCGUGCCUAAUACAUGCAAGUCGAGCGAACAGAUGAGGAGCUUGCUCCUCUGACGUUAGCGGCGGACGGGUGAGUAACACGUGGAUAACCUACCUAUAAGACUGGGAUAACUUCGGGAAACCGGAGCUAAUACCGGAUAAUAUAUUGAACCGCAUGGUUCAAUAGUGAAAGACGGUUUUGCUGUCACUUAUAGAUGGAUCCGCGCCGCAUUAGCUAGUUGGUAAGGUAACGGCUUACCAAGGCAACGAUGCGUAGCCGACCUGAGAGAGUGAUCGGCCACACUGGAACUGAGACACGGUCCAGACUCCUACGGGAGGCAGCAGUAGGGAAUCUUCCGCAAUGGGAGAAAGCCUGACGGAGCAACGCCGCGUGAGUGAUGAAGGUCUUCGGAUCGUAAAACUCUGUUAUUAGGGAAGAACAAAUGUGUAAGUAACUAUGCACGUCUUGACGGUACCUAAUCAGAAAGCCACGGCUAACUACGUG
rnacentral:rRNA from 1 species